GAUGAACGCUGGCGGCGUGCCUAAUACAUGCAAGUCGAGCGAACGGACGAGAAGCUUGCUUCUCUGAUGUUAGCGGCGGACGGGUGAGUAACACGUGGAUAACCUACCUAUAAGACUGGGAUAACUUCGGGAAACCGGAGCUAAUACCGGAUGAUAUUUUGAACCGCAUGGUUCAAAAGUGAAAGACGGUCUUGCUGUCACUUAUAGAUGGAUCCUCGCUGCAUUAGCUAGUUGGUAAGGUAACGGCUUACCAAGGCAACGAUGCAUAGCCGACCUGAGAGGGUGAUCGGCCACACUGGAACUGAGACACGGUCCAGACUCCUACGGGAGGCAGCAGUAGGGAAUCUUGCGCAAUGGGCGAAAGCCUGACGGAGCAACGCCGCGUGAGUGAUGAAGGUCUUCGGAUCGUAAAACUCUGUUAUUAGGGAAGAACAUAUGUGUAAGUAACUGUGCACAUCUUGACGGUACCUAAUCAGAAAGCCACGGCUAACUACGUG
rnacentral:rRNA from 1 species